rnacentral:tRNA from 1 species
CGCCCGGUAGCUCAGUGGUUAGAGCGUUGGCUUCAAAAGCCAGAGGACAGGGGUUCGAUUCCCCGGCCGGGUGG